UCCUACUUCUUCUUCUAGUUUUAUUCUUCAAAAUGACAUACUUAGCCAAUUAUCCUCCAAAAUGGCAUAAUUAGCUUAUUUAGUUCAUUUAUGACAUAAUUGUCUUAGUUAGGUAAAAAAUAGCACAACAACCUUGGUUAGCUCAUAACUUAGCGUAUCUUCCUCCAAAAUGACAUAACAAGCUAAAAAUAAGAUAACUAAUCAUCUUCACCUUCUUCUUCACCUUAUUCUUCUUUUUCUCCUCCUUCUUCUAGUCUUCUCCUGCUCCUCCAUCUUAUUCUUCUAAUUUUAUUAUCCAAAAUGACAUACUUAGCUAAUUAUCCUCCAAAAUGACAUAAUUAGCUUAUUUAGUUUAUUUAUGACAUCAUUAGCUUAGUUACAUCAAAAAUAGCACAAGAACCUUGGUUAGCUCAUAACGUAGCGUAUCUUCCUCCGAAACGACAUAAUAAGCUCAAAAUAAGAUAAGUA
rnacentral:lncRNA from 1 species